AUGCCUUAAACUAAUGAGUAAGAAAAAUAAGAAUUCUGGGAGAUGCCAGAAUUCUCAUUGCUAAUGUGAGACAAAUUUUUGUGUGGGUGAAGAUUGCCCAUAGGGUGACCCACCUACUUUGCCGGAUGACCAAAUGGUGCAAUGUGCCCA